rnacentral:misc_RNA from 2 species
GAAAUGCGAUAAGUAAUGUGAAUUGCAGAAUUCAGUGAAUCAUCGAAUCUUUGAACGCACAUUGCGCCCGCCAGUAUUCUGGCGGGCAUGCCUGUUCGAGCGUCAUUUCAACCAUCAAGCCCCCGGGCUUGUGUUGGGGACCUGCGGCUGCCCGCAGGCCCUGAAAACCAGUGGCGGGCUCGCUAGUCACACCGAGCGUAGUAGCAUACAUCUCGCUCAGGGCGUGCUGCGGGUUCCGGCCGUUAAACAGCCUCUGCGCUACACCCAAGGUUGACCUCGGAUCAGGUAGGAAGACCCGCUGAACUUAA